GUGCAUGUGAUGAAGCAAAUCAGUAUGAAUAAAAUCAUGAUACUGUAAACGCUUUCUGAUGUG
ensembl:snoRNA